UUCCGUCCUAAGCGGGCCGUAUAGGAGCGAGGCAGUAGCAGCUCAGGCACUUGCAGUUCCUUCUUCGUUCCUUCCUCAUUCUUCCUCCUUCGGAUCUGCGACGAACGUACAGCGGUGAUGGACUGCAGCAGCGGUGCGACAACAUUCUUCGUCUUUCGAGCUUCAGAUCUCCUCGUCGCGGCGGCUGUUUCAGAUUCAAAACCUGCUUUAGAUCCUCUAGAUCUAGCGUGAGGGCCGACGACAGCUUCAGUUUCGACCAACACAUCAAGGAUGGCGUGUUCUACAUCAAGCAGCGGCUUCAGAUCCUCGUCACAGCGGCAGCAGCGGCGUUACUGCCCUAAUCAGUACCUCCUUCCGGUGAUCAUUCUUUGUUGUGAAGAUUUCCCUUGUUUUUGUUCAUUUAUGUACUUUUUGAAAUGAAAAUUUAUUGAAAAUCCUAGGGUUUAAGGUUGACGAGCAGAUUAGUAGAUUUUGUUUCUAGGUUGACUUUGGGGCAUUUGAUGGCUUAUCUGUUGAGCAGCCUGCAUCUGGGUAUUACGCCAUAGGCAGCAAGCAGGUCGAACGUGUUGUGGAAUAGCAGCUGCCGAAGGGGAACACAUGCAAGCCAAUUUGCUAUUGUCCCUGAAGUGCUUUUUAUUUCCAGAACAGAUGUCGUACCUAGUGUCGUUUCAAGGUUGUUUUCAGCCUCACAAAGCUUAAAGAUUGCAUGUGCAUUACAUUCCCCUGCACUUGAGCAAGAUGCCACCUCUGUUUCCAAUAAUAAUCACAAAGGGAAACUGUUGAAAUUGCUAGUAUUGAAGGUGAGCAGGUCUUUAGUAAGGAUGGCAGGACCACGAUGCCUAGGAAGGUGCUGUUUAAAAAUACCUUAAUGAAUGUAACUUAUGCAUGGAAAUAGAUCAUUGAACUCCGUCUUACUGGUAGGAUUGUUGCUUUACUUUUUUUUUUUCAUUCUAUUUUAUUCUAUUGGUAGGCUGUGAUCACUUUUAAAUUUUUAAAAUUUGUCAUUUUGUGAUGUUAAUAUUUUUGCUGAAGAGGAACAAGAGGGUGUGCCUAGAUCUAUCU